rnacentral:rRNA from 1 species
UACGUAGGGGGCAAGCGUUGUCCGGAUUUAUUGGGCGUAACGAGCGUGUAGGCGGCCAGGUAGGUCCGUUGUGAAAACUCGAGGCUCAACCUCGAGACGUCGGUUGAAACCGUACGGCUAGAGUCCGGAAGAGGAGAGUGGAAUUCCCGGUGUAGCGGUGAAAUGCGCAGAUAUCGGGAAGAACACCCGUGGCGAAGGCGGCUCUCUGGGACGGUACUGACGCUGAGACGCGAAAGCGUGGGGAGCGAACAGG